CAUUUUGAAUGAACCCUGUCAUAAAAUGAACCGGAACCAUGUUCAUCGAAUGUAAAUAAACAAAAGUUCACUAUCCUCGAAAAAUCUAUGCUUCGAUAAAUUUUUCGAGGAUAGCCAUGCAAAAUGUAAACAAAUAUUCGAGGAUAAGUUUUUGUCAAUGUAUUGUGUCUUGUCGUGUCUCGUCAUGUGUGUUCGGGAGUUCCUCUAUUCUUGUAUUUGCUCUUUUCUCUCCUGAUGUUGCUUUGCUUCUCUUCAUGUCCGUAGACUCUUCGCGUUGUGUGGUGGUAUGGUUGUGUGUAACAAUGGAACUUUCGCUGCAAGGUUGGAGGGGGUGGGCGUCGAGUGUGUUGUUUAUCAGCUGUGAUCCGUGCGUGUGAAACUUUUUCGGUGUGCUGAAACGGGUGAGUAAUAGUAAGAUUAGAAACAGAAUGCCGUGUGCAUGUAUACCUCAGCCUGAAGACUGAACCACCAGACUUGCUCAGAGCAGGAAUGAAAUACACGUAAUAUAAAUUGGAGCGUGGUACGCUUGCGCGUAGCAGAUCAUGAUUCAAAAAUCUGUUUGCUCUACAAAGUCGAUGAGUGCAUCUAAUCAGUUCUGCAGCGCCAUGGUGAUCGUUGAGAGGUGUUAGCACGGAAGACAGAGCGGGAAAAGGUUCACGACAACUAUGCGGUGAGGAGGAUAUCAACGGAUUGUGCAUUUACAGUUAGCGGGUGAGCACACGCUGUACCUCGUAGGAGAACCUGGCCAUGGGUAUCGGAGAAUGCAUAUCGUAUGCCGGAAUCGUGCUUGGCCUUGAACACUGACUCUGCUCGAUCACGGGUUCCAAAUUGGUCAUUACGUUACCGGCGGCUUGCCAGCAAUCAGCAUUGGGUGUUCUUUUUCCGUUCAGUUCUUCCUACCGUCCUGCUGUGUAUAAAGUGCCUUCCAUUAACAUCUCCCGACAGCAAUGGUUGCUGCUAGCCCGGAUUAUGAUGGUGCUGUUGCUGAAGAGGAAUGUUGUGUUGCCUGGUUGCACUGGACAGGAUGGUUCACACAGUGUAGUCAAUCUCCUGUUGGUGUCGAUUGUUCCCUUCGAGCCGGAGGCCCAUCCCGGCCGCUCAGUGCGAUAGUGUUAGAUGCUAGAAAUACAAGAUGUAAAUAUAAAAUGGUUACUUUACAUGUUAAUACAGAAGAGGCGAUUAUAUAGGUUAUAGAA